UCUCUUCUUUGCAAGGGGAGGGGGUGAUUUGGCUCACCUAUACUUAGAAUUUGGCCUUUGGGGCCCGGCGCACUGGCUUAACGCCUGUAACGCCAGCACUUUCGGAGGCCCGAGGGUGGGCAGAGGUGGAUUACUUAAGGUUAGGAGUUCUCAAGACCAGCCUGGUCAACAUGAUGAAACCCCAUCGCUACUAAAAAUAUAAAACUGAACCUGGUGUGGUGGCAGGAGACUGUAAUCCCAGCUACUUUGGAGGCUGAGGCAGGAGAAUCGCUUGAACCUGGGAAGCGGAGGUUGCGGUCAGCCGAGACCUUGCCACUGCACUCCAGCCUGAGCAACAGAACAGUGUCUGUUCCCAGGCUUGACUCCAGUGGUGCGAUCUGGACUCACUGCAUCCUUUACCUCCUAAAUUCAAGUGAUUCUCCUGCCUCAGCCUCCUUCACAGCUGGGACUAUAGAGUCUUGCUGUGUCACCAAGGCUGGAAUGCAUUGGCACGAUCUUUGCUCACUGCAACCUCCGCCUCCCUGGUUCAAGCGAUUCCCUGCUUUAGCCUCUGGAGCAGCUGGGACUACAGACAGAGUCUCACUCUUUCGUCCAGGCUGGAGUGUUGGUGGCCUGAGCUCGGCUCACUGUAAACUUCACCUCCCACGGCUCAAGUGAUCCUUCCACCUCCGCCUUCCAAGUAGCUGGGAUUAUAGGCGUGCACCACCAAAGGCACAUCCCAGCCCUCCAGCGCUCACCUCGUCACACACUACCAUUCAGGACCACCUUCCACAUCAGCCAGGUGCAGAACCCACAGUGACUUCCUGUCUUGGCUCCCAAUACUCAGCUGCAACUCUGAGGCCAAUUUCAGUGGGAGUUAGGAGCUUGUCCAAUGGAGGUGUCACUAGGAGUGACAAUGGCUGGCUUUAAGAUUAGAAAAGUAGUGUUUACUUUGAAAAAAGAAGACUGCUCCACAAGGAAUGUACAGUUUUGAUAUGCUCAGGGCUCAGGUCUUCAGGGGAUGAACAAGGUUGAUAACUCCAGGAGCAAUGGGACCUGCACUCACUUGAUGACUGUCCCGCCCACCUGUCACCCACAGCCUAGGCAGGGGCUGGGCUCUCACCUCAGCCCCUCCUCUGCACGCCCUGGAUGUGGAUGGUCCUUGAGUGUGAACUUGCCUGGGCUCUGACCCUGGGUGCUCUUUCUGCUGUUGUGGAGCCUCUGUGGGUGUGAUGCACCCAUAGAGGGCUUCACAGGAGACCGAGUGCUCUGUAAGUCUCACGACCUACAUUUUUGGGGAAUCCAUGUCAGGUAUUCAUAUCUCAGGGACUCAGAUGCCCAAACUGUGAAAAUGAGACAAUCUAUUCCAUUUCUCAGGUGUAGUGAGAUUACUUUUAUAUGACAAUCAGUAAUCUCUAUGUUGAUGGUAUUCUCGGUGUUGCCUUUAUCCCUCCGCUGAUGUCUAUAACCCAAGGAUAAGUCAGGCAUUGUAAGGAAGAGUUCCUUUCCUCCUUCUACAGGCGCCGUUAACAGGAAUUUCCUUCAGGCUAUGUUGGAAAAGGACAUUUGGGCUUUUUAAUUAAAAAAACAUUUUUAAAAUUUUCUUUUUCUUUUUAUUUAAAGAUGGGGUUUCACCAUGUUGGUCAGGCUGCUCUUGAACUCCCAACCUCAGGUGAUAACGCCUGCCUUGGCCUCCAAAGUGCUUGGAUUACAGGUGUGAGCCACCACGCCUGGCCUUAAUUAAAAUUUUAUUUUAAAUGUUUUUAAAAUUCACAAUAGAUAUUUUAUCCUAAGAUAAAGUAAAACUUGCUUAAUUACAGAAAAUAUGAAAAGUAUAUAAAAGUAGGUUCUCGUUCUGUCACCCAGGCUGGAGUGCAGUGGUGCGAUCGUGGCUCACUGCAACCUGGAAUCAGAGGAGCCUUCUGUCUCGCCUCCCAAAAACGCUAGUUUUUUUAAAAUUAAUUUUUAAAAUUUCUUUUUGCAUUAUGAGAAAAUAGAAAACGCUAAUUUUAUAGGGUAUGAUCCAUAGCGCCUGCUGUUCCUUUCUUCAACACGUCCUCCCAUCCUUCUCUCCUUUCUCCACUCUCACUUAAAAAAAAAUUUUUUUUUUUUUUAAAGACGGGGUUUCACCAUGUUGGUCAGGCUGGUCUUGAACUCCCGACCUCAGGUGAUCCGCCCGCCUUGGCCUCCAAAGUGCUUGGAUU